rnacentral:rRNA from 1 species
GCCCCCUUUCGGGGGGCAGAGUUACCAGGUGGGUCCAUGGUUGUCCUUCCAGCCUCGUGGUCGUUGAGAUUGUUGGGUUAAGUCCCCGCAACGAGCGCAACCCCUUGAUCUUAGUUGCCAGCAUUCAGUUGGGCACUCUAAGGUGACUGCCGGUGACAAACCGGAGGAAGGUGGGGAUGACGUCAAAUCAUCAUGCCCCUUAUGACCUGGGCUACACACGUGCUACAAUGGACAGAACAAAGGGCAGCGAAACCGCGAGGUUAAGCCAAUCCCACAAAUCUGUUCUCAGUUCGGAUCGCAGUCUGCAACUCGACUGCGUGAAGCUGGAAUCGCUAGUAAUCGCGGAUCAGCAUGCCGCGGUGAAUACGUUCCCGGGCCUUGUACACACCGCCCGUCACACCACGAGAGUUUGUAACACCCGAAGUCGGUGAGGUAACCUUUUAGGAGCCA